CCAGCACUCGGUUUUUCUACAAUUUUCAAGGGUUUCUUCCCUUCGAAGCUUCCGAAAAAAAAAAAAAAACACAAAUUAGGGUUUGUAUAAAAAUCCCAGUAGUUCUCACUCAAAAUCCGAUGGAAUCCGAUUCAUGGACCGCUUGUUUCACAUCCAAACGCCACCAAUCUACACUCCAAUCGCGAUCUGAUCUGUACCUUGCUUUUGAAGAAACGGACGACGACGAUGAUUCAAGGGCCGAGUUUUCCUGUCCGUUCUGUUCGGAGGAUUUUGUUAUCGUCGGUCUGUGAUGUCAAAUCGACGAUGAGCAUCCUGUCAAGGCGAAAAGUGGGGUGUGCCCUGUUUGUACGGUCAGGGUGGGAAUGGACAUGGUUGGACACAUAACCAUGCAGCAUGGAUAGUUCUUCAAGAUAUCCUUUUCUUGAAGGAUAUUCCACAUGAUCAUUUCUUUUGGAAAUGAUUGUAAAAUGCACUACAGAACGUGUAUGCGUGUGUGCAUUCACCAUAGCUUUUAAAUGGCACAGGGGUUAUCCCAUCAUUGAUCUGAACCGUUCAUUCAUUCAUACAACCGGGCGCAAGCCAUGGUGUAAAUAUCAUGCCAGUGGGAUGAUCCCCAUUGUCUGAUCAAUGGGAUGAUAGUUUUGGAAAUUUCCCAAAUGCCUCUACACCUGUUGUAUUCGAGAUUAUAACUGUAACAUAAGGCACAUCAUAGGCCAAACCUGAUACUUUAAAGGUGCAUAGUUAGAAAUUGUGUUUUCUUGGACAAUCUUUUGGGAGCAUUUGCUAAAAUGCUUUAAUGGUUUCAUUUUCAAUACAUCAUCGAAAUUGUUUUCUUGAAUGAUUAAGAACUUUGACCUUUUGCAAGCCCAUCUUCCUCUGUGAGAUGAAGAUGAUUUCUAGAUGCUCUUUUAACAAUUUCAUUCAGUUAAAAUUUGUAUACUAACUAAUUGAUUAGGAGUUAUGUACUUUGUUUGAUUGCUAUGGCCAGAUAGGCCAGGUAGUAUUUUAAUUCAAAGUCACUGAGACAUUUGGUGAUGCUUUAAAAACUCAGUCCCCAAUGUUCAAAAGGAGACAUCCAGUGGAGGGCUAACCAUGGCAGCCCAUCUCAGUGACUCUCAGGGAACACUGGUUAAUAUCGUCGUUGGCUUGCACGUGUGGGUGGAAAAUC